GAUUAGCUCAGUUGGUGAGAGUGAAUGUGGUGCUGAUAGCGCCAAGGUUGCGGAUUCAAUCCUCGUAAGGGCCA